UACGUAGGGUGCAAGCGUUGUCCGGAAUUAUUGGGCGUAAAGAGCUCGUAGGCGGUUUGUUGCGUCGGGUGUGAAAGCCCUGGGCUCAACCCAGGAAGUGCACUCGAAACUGACGGGCUUGAAUAUGGAAGAGGGUCGCGGAAUUCCCGGUGUAGAGGUGAAAUUCGUAGAUAUCGGGAGGAACACCAGUGGCGAAGGCGGCGACCUGGGCCAAUAUUGACGCUGAGGUGCGAAAGCGUGGGGAGCAAACAGG
rnacentral:rRNA from 1 species